GGGAAAGAUGAAAAGCACUUUGGAAAGAGAGUUAAACAGUACGUGAAAUUGCUGAAAGGGAAACACUUGAAGUCAGUCGCGUUGUCCGGAACUCAGCCUUGCUUUCUUUUUGCUUGGUGCACUUUCCGGUUGACGGGUCAGCAUCGAUUUUGACCGUUGGAUAAGGGUUGGGGGAAUGUGGCACCUCUGGGUGUGUUAUAGCCCUCAGUCACAUACAAUGGUCGGGAUCGAGGAAAUUCAGCACACCUUUAUGGUCGGGGUUUUUUUUGCCCACGUACUGUGCUCAGGAUGCUGGCGGUAAUGG
rnacentral:rRNA from 1 species